rnacentral:rRNA from 1 species
ACUCCUACGGGAGGCAGCAGUGGGGAAUCUUGCGCAAUGGCCGAAAGGCUGACGCAGCGACGCCGCGUGGGGAUGAAGGCCUUCGGGUCGUAAACCCCUGUUGCCCGGGACGAACGGCCUAAUUCGUUAGGCGUGACGGUACCGGGUGAGGAAGCACCGGCUAACUCUGUGCCAGCAGCCGCGGUAAUACAGAGGGUGCGAGCGUUGUCCGGAAUCACUGGGCGUAAAGGGCGCGUAGGCGGCCCCUUAAGCGUGUGGUGAAAGCGCGGGGCUCAACCCCGCGUCGGCCAUGCGGACUGGGGGCUGGAGGCACGGUCAGAGGCAGGCGGAAUUCCGGGUGUAGCGGUGGAAUGCGUAGAGAUCCGGAAGAACACCGGUGGCGAAGGCGGCCUGCUGGGACGUGGCUGACGCUGAGGCGCGACAGCGUGGGGAGCAAACAGGAUUAGAUACCCUGGUAGCUACGAGU